rnacentral:rRNA from 1 species
AUUCACCUGAGAUGAGUACGAUUACCUGCUGAACUUAAGCAUAUCAGUAAGCAGAGGAAAAGAAACAAACAUGGAUUU